rnacentral:rRNA from 1 species
CCUACGGGAGGCAGCAGUGGGGAAUAUUGCGCAAUGGGCGAAAGCCUGACGCAGCAACGCCGCGUGGGGGAUGAAGGCCUUCGGGUUGUAAACCUCUUUCAGCAGGGAAGAAGCGAAAGUGACGGUACCUGCAGAAGAAGCACCGGCUAACUACGUGCCAGCAGCCGCGGUAAUACGUAGGGUGCAAGCGUUGUCCGGAUUUAUUGGGCGUAAAGAGCUCGUAGGCGGUUAGUCACGUCGGAUGUGAAAUCCCGGAGCUUAACUCCGGGCCUGCAUUCGAUACGGGCUGACUCGAGUGUUGUAGGGGAGACUGGAACUCCUGGUGUAGCGGUGAAAUGCGCAGAUAUCAGGAAGAACACCGGUGGCGAAGGCGGGUCUCUGGGCAACUACUGACGCUGAGGAGCGAAAGCGUGGGGAGCAAACAGGAUUAGAUACCCUGGUAGUCCACGCCGUAAACGGUGGGCGCUAGGUGUGGGGAACAUUCCUACGUCUCUGCGCGCAGCUACGCAUAGUCGCCCGCCGUCGGGAGGUACGGCCGGCGAACGGACGUAAACCGUUAAAACGGUAAAGUUAGUACGGCGUGAGACGUGCCGAACGGACGACCGACGAGGGAGGUAGG